GCCCAGUCUGUGCUGAUUCAGCCAUCUUCAGUGUCUGGGUCCCUGGGCCAGACACUUACCAUUUCCUGCACUGGAAGCCCAGCCAACAUUGGGGCCGGUAAGGACCGUCCUCGGUGACCCAAAGCAGCCUCUGAGCCUAUGUCCACACCUUUGGAUCAGACCUCCAAGCAGCUUCACCUCCAUCCCUGCCCCAUCACCCAUGAGUGUCUGUGUUUGUAAGUUCUUUCUGCCAGCCCAUGCUGGCUCAGACACCCUCCUUGUCCGCAUCUCUGAAGAAUCUAAUAGACUCAUUUUCACCC